GGUGAGUAAUGUCUGGGAAACUGCCUGAUGGAGGGGGAUAACUACUGGAAACGGUAGCUAAUACCGCAUAACGUCGCAAGACCAGAGAGGGGGACCUUCGGGCCUCUUGCCAUCGGAUGUGCCCAGAUGGGAUUAGCUAGUAGGUGGGGUAACGGCUCACCUAGGCGACGAUCCCUAGCUGGUCUGAGAGGAUGACCAGCCACAUUGGAACUGAGACACAGUCCAG
rnacentral:rRNA from 1 species